rnacentral:rRNA from 1 species
CCUACGGGUGGCAGCAGUGGGGAAUAUUGCACAAUGGUUGGAACCCUGAUGCAGCCACGCCGCGUGAGGGAAGCAGUAAUUCGUUAUGUAAAGCUCUAUCAGCCGGGAAGCAAAUGACGGUACCUGAGUAAGAAGCCCCGGCUAACUACGUGACAGCAGCCGCGGUCAUACGGAGGGGGCCAGCGUUAUCCGGAUUUACUGGGUGUAAAGGGAGCGUAUACGGUAGGGCAGGUCUGGAGUGAAAGGCGGGGGCUCAAGCCCCGGACUGCCCUUGAAACUGUAAGGCUGGAGUGCAGGAGAGGUAAGUGGAAUGCGUGGUGUAGCGGUGAAAUGCGUAGAUAUUAGGAAGAACACCAGUGGCGAAGGCAGCUUACUGGACCGUAACUGACGUUGAGGCACGAAAGCGUGGGGAGCAAACAGGAUUAGAUACCCGGGUAGUC